UAAUAAAAUCUGAUAAAAUUGCAAUGAAUCAUGCUAGAUAUGCCAUGGAAGGUGUCAGGGAAAAUGUUAUGAUUUUCCAAGUAUGAUCAUUCUGUUUCUCUGUUUCUAUCACCUUUGUAUUGUGAGUUACAGAUAUGUAGGGUAUAUCUGUAUUUCCAGACUUGUGCAGUGUUUCUGGGUAACACCCCCAGACAUAUUGGCAUCAACACUGCCUAGCCUGUUUGAUGGCCCAUUGAGGGUCAUCAGCUGUACAAUGAGCCCAUGGAAAGGACCAAGGUGAUACACCUAUUGAGUCAGCAAGACAUUCCCGGCAAGGUUUCCUGUUACCCAGCCUGAUGUGAUCUCCCAGCUGGAACAAGGGGAAGAGCCAUGGGUCCCAGAUCUCCAAGGCUCUGAGGAAAGAGAGAUCCUGAGAGCUCUCUGCACAGCAGGUGAUGCAAUGGCAUGUGAGAAAAAGGAGCAGAAUUCUCAGCAGGAAAAUGUUGAGCAAGUGGAUAAACACAGAGCAUUA